UACGUAGGGGGCAAGCGUUGUCCGGAUUUAUUGGGCGUAAAGAGCGUGUAGGCGGCCAGGUAGGUCUGCUGUGAAAACUCGAGGCUUAACCUCGAGAUGUCGGCGGAAACCAUCUGGCUAGAGUCCGGAAGAGGAGAAUGGAAUUCCCGGUGUAGCGGUGAAAUGCGUAGAUAUCUGGAGGAACACCGGUGGCGAAGGCGGCGUCCUGGACCAACACUGACACUGAGGAGCGAAAGCCAGGGAGCAAACGGG
rnacentral:rRNA from 1 species